ensembl:lncRNA
AAUUUCUGUAAAGUGUGGGCUCCCACUAUUGCAUUCUAUUAUUUCAGCAAAAUUAUUUUUAAAGAUACAAUGUCAGAGAUGCUGGAGAUGAUGUAGAAAAUAGUAUUAGGGAAUAUAUAAUAGUUCAGCAAAACACUGGAUGCUAUAGAAACGUUAUUUCAUAAACAUCAAUACCUGCUCAUCAAUGCUAGCAGUGUACGGGAUGUUUGCUUUGUUUAUCUUUUCUUUUCCUUCCCUGUGUAUUCGGUCUUAUGAAGUUGCCAUUUUGGCAGUCCUGGAGAUGGUUGGAUUAGGUGACCUUAGAGGUCUUCUCCAACCUUAAUGAUUCUGUGAUUGUGAUUCUGUGAAAGCCAUGCUUUAUCCAGGAAUCGUGCCUUCUGCCUGUGCCUCAGUUACGUCACUUACAUGCACUCAGCUCUUUUCCAGUCCGGCACUGUGAAUAGAAGUGCCAAAUGUUAGAGCAAUUGUGGGUCAGUCCCUAUCAACAGUCUGAGACCACUAAGUGAUUUUCAAUGGACUGGGAAAUCAUGGUUAAUAGAUACAGUUUUAAAAUUUGCAUUGAAUACAAGUUAUCUACAUUAGAUUCUAAGGUGAGGACCAGGGUAUAUCAUGCCAAAUUCCCUGCAGAGACAGUAUCCUGCCUUGACUGCUUUAGAUGAUCUGACCUGGAGGACGUCAAGAAUACCUACAGCUUGGGCUGGAGCUGCACGACUGUGAGCCAUGUGGUUUCUCAAAGGACACACUUGUAAUGCUGUCUUUCUACCUGUUUUGGUCUAUCUGUUGCAGAGACAGAGACUCAAGUGUUAUUUUUAUAUUUGAAAGGCUAUUUCUGCCUCUGGUAGGACAUAAACACAUUGUGUGCCAAGGAAGACCUUGGUCUAAUUUAAAAUAACAUUAUUUCCAAAGCUUGUGCCCCAUGGUAAAUCUUUUUUAAUACUUAAAAUUACAAAGAGCAUCAUAUGUAAUUGGAAAAAGUAAGAGGCUGGGGGCCCAUUGUAUUUAGCCUGUGGAGGCACUGAUGUCAUUGUCUCAUAGUAAGAAGCCAUUAAACUAUGAAGU